rnacentral:rRNA from 1 species
GACGAACGCUGGCGGCAUGCCUAAUACAUGCAAGUCGAACGCACGAAGUUGAAAAGCUUGCUUUUCGACCAAGUGAGUGGCGGACGGGUGAGUAACACGUGGGUAACCUGCCCAUAAGAGGGGGAUAACAUUCGGAAACGGAUGCUAAUACCGCAUAUUUCAAGUGACCGCAUGGUCGCUUGAUGAAAGGUGGCUUCGGCUACCACUUAUGGAUGGACCCGCGGUGCAUUAGUUAGUUGGUGAGGUAAUGGCUCACCAAGACCAUGAUGCAUAGCCGACCUGAGAGGGUGAUCGGCCACACUGGGACUGAGACACGGCCCAGACUCCUACGGGAGGCAGCAGUAGGGAAUCUUCCGCAAUGGACGAAAGUCUGACGGAGCAAUGCCGCGUGAGUGAAGAAGGUUUUCGGAUCGUAAAACUCUGUUGUUAGAGAAGAACAAGGAUGAGAGUAACUGCUCAUCCCCUGACGGUAUCUAACCAGAAGACCSWYU